rnacentral:rRNA from 1 species
GACGGAAGGUGCAAGCGUUGCUCGGAAUCACUGGGCGUAAAGGGUGCGUAGGCGGCCGUGCAAGUCUGGCGUGAAAGCCCCGGGCUCAGCCCGGGAAGUGCGCUCGAAACUGCGCAGCUAGAGUCCUGGAGAGGAAGGUGGAAUGCUUGGUGUAGAGGUGAAAUUCGUAGAUAUCAAGCGGAACACCGGUGGCGAAGGCGGCCUUCUGGACAGUGACUGACGCUGAGACGCGAAAGCGUGGGGAGCAAACAGG